rnacentral:rRNA from 1 species
AAAGAUUAAGCCAUGCAUGUCUAAGUAUAAGCAAUUAUACCGUGAAACUGCGAAUGGCUCAUUAAAUCAGUUAUCGUUUAUUUGAUAGUACCUUACUACUUGGAUAACCGUGGUAAUUCUAGAGCUAAUACAUGCUGAAAACCCCGACUUACGAAGGGGUGUAUUUAUUAGAUAAAAAACCAACGCCCUUCGGGGCUUCUUGGUGAUUCAUGAUAACUUUACGGAUCGCAUGGCCUUGCGCCGGCGACGGUUCAUUCAAAUUUCUGCCCUAUCAACUUUCGAUGGUAAGGUAUUGGCUUACCAUGGUUU